rnacentral:sRNA from 1 species
CCUAACCACCACUAAACAAAUUGUAAAAGAAUCCAGGGGCCCUUUACCGUCUACUCAGUGGAACUCUCGUCUUAUAAGCUGGCUUUGUAUGCCCGGUUGCGUCAGAGAAUCCGCACGAUAUCCUUAUCCUCAGGUCCAUAGUUAAUAGCUCUUGCUUGGUAUUUGGUUGAACUGGCUUUUUAUUUGCUUCGGCACACUUCAUAGACACGUGAUGAGAACCAAACUGCAAGCUCAGGUAUCGCGUCAUAAAGUUGUUGAACUUAUUAUCUCGUUGACACAUGCCAGAAUAACAACAAACUCAAAAAUCCACAUUAACGAGAGUAUAUAUCCUUCUUGCACACGUAUUCAGAUGCCCAAGUGACCCUGGUUUGAACCAGGGCGGAACUGAGGAAAUACUAGUAACGAACCCCCUCUCAAUCCCAUCCCGUUCACCCACACCCAAUACCCCAUCCGAUCAAAUCCUAGUAAUAGAACGAAAUGAAAAUGUAAAACACAACAUCACCAGCUCCCAUUCGGAUAUGGCUCGUUUUUCGGCCCCUUGGCCCACUCUUCGUCCCUCCCAUUCCAGUACUGCAACCGAAUCUUGCUCCAAUCAAUUCCCUGAUCCGUAUCGAUCGUCAACCCAUUCACAAUCCAAAGGCGCAAGUCCCCAUGGCUCCCGAAAAUAAAACAAGAGACCCCACACGUCUUGCAGAAGUAGUGGCGCACCCUCUUCGGGCCGAAGCUGUACUCGGCCAGCUCGUCAAGGGUGGCCGGCUCGAGGAGCGUGAUAUCCUCCUCUGCCUCGGCUCGGAUGGAUACCGAGCCGUUUUUGAGGCAGAUGCUGCAGUUGCAGCGGCCGGGGGCGAGUUUGCGGAUAUCAAGGUUCACCGUGUAUUUGACGAAGCCGCAGUGGCAGCUGCCGGUGUAGGGCUUUUUGGACGAGGAGGGGGCUGUUUCGGUCGUCAUGGCGGUUUUUUUUUUCUUUCUUCAACUUUUGGUUCUUGGUUGGAACGGUGCGAUGUAUGGAAUGUGUAGGCUUCAGUAUAUAUAUAAAUAUAUAUACCUCUAUUGCUGUUGGAGA